GAUGCAGCAGCAAGAGAUAACCUACCAAACCCCUGGUAGACAAUAGAACAACAAAACAACAAUUAAAUACACAACAAAAAGAAACAUUUUUGAAUGCAAAAAACUCCAAUCACACCUGAGACAUAACAGAGAAAACAUCUGGUUGAGAAUUAUUAUUAAUAUUCCUAUUGGAAGGAGCAGGACCGGAUCCAAAUCCAACGUACUUGCCACCUUGUGAAGGCGGAAGACCUUCAGGGCGUGAAUCAUUCUCAGCCAUUUUUCUAGCAAAAAAACUCUCUUUAUUAGCGGCAGAUGCUUCUAAUUGAGAUCUAGUAUACAUAUCCUCAGUCGAUCUCGACCUAACUGGCAUACCUCCCGCUCCAUUCCCAUUAUUGCCCCUAAAAUCACUGACUGACUGAUUUCUUCUCAUAUCAUUAGACGAAGAUCUAUACGAAUCAUCAUUGUCCCAACUAUCCCACCCUCCAUUAUUACCACCUGAUUGACCCAACGGAGGCUUUUUCUUGCUGCUAGUGCUACCAAUCGUUUCUUUAACAACAGGUGGGUCCCGCCAAGGUCUACCCUCGGCUAGGGCUUGGAUACGGUCACGAUAAACACUAGCGGCGUUAGUGUUAUAUUUAGCGACGAUGUCUGUUUCUUUAGGGACUCCAUAUUGAGAUAAGAAAGCGUUUAGCUUUUCGUUACCACCGGCUUCCAUUUUCUUGAUCUGGAUUUCGGACCACGAGUCCAUGGUUACGGAUCGGACGAAGGAUAUGUGAACACCGAGCCCCCGGUGUUUGCCCGAACAUUCUAAACACAUGAAGACUCCAUAGGAAACGGAGGCCCAUUGUGGAUUCUUUUGCGAGCAAUCAACGCAGAUCUUGUUUCCUGGUUGCGAUUGGAGGUCUCGGAGCCGCCUUGAUGCCGCCAUUUUUUUUAGGAUCCGAUCCGGUUGAUCUGAAUCGGAUUUAUUUUAUUCCAAAACAAAACUAAAACUAAAAAAAUUGAAAGAAUUAUGAUACAGAAAAUAAAAAUUAUGAUAGCAAAGGGAGAUGUGUGAUUGAGAGAAAGAAUUGGGGGAUGUCACCGACACCGCGUAAACGAUGGUGCGGGUGUUGGUGCGAUUACGCUAACUUGUGUUCCUUUUUUGUUUUGUUUUCUUUCAAAUAUAAAAUUUAUAAAUAAAUAAAACGAGGCAUCGCACAUGUGGAUUUUGUAAGUCUAAUGGUUAAUCUCGCUUUUCUACAGUUAGUGGAUACGUUUUUUGGUAUAUACUAAUUAGGAAAAAUGUGCAAAUACACUCCUAAAGUUUGGCGUGAAGAGCAUAUAAGUGCUUAAUCUAUUCUUUUAGCAAAAAAAAAAAUAUUCCUUUAUCUUUUGUUGUAUUAUAAGCCCCUUAUUAAACGUUGCUUUCAUCCUUAACUUAACACUAUUUUCCUCCUCAUGUGCCAAAGGACAUGGAACCAUCAUGCUUGGGUUUGAGAAGAUACUUACCAAGGUUUGAAUUCUUCUUUUUUUUUUUUUCAUCUUCUCUAGAAGGGCGAUGAUUUGAUGUGUGGUUUUAUAUAUAUAUACUAUCUCAGAGAAUGUGCAUUUGCAAAAUCUACUUGUGGAGCUACGGCGGACAAAUUAAGAUGUUGUUGAUUGGUUUAAGAAUGGUGGAUCUCUCAAUGAGUAUAGAAUUAUAGUUCGUAGCAAGAGAUAUUCAACAUGUCAAAAUUUUUUGAAUUUGGAUAUGGAUUUGUCAGUGAGCAAGUCUCUAGAACUUGGAGUUGAGCUACAGUGAAUGUUGUUAUUGGAGCUUGUAUGCAAAACGACAAUGGAUUGUUAGGAUUGGCGAGAUUUUAAUUUUUUUUUGCAGGAUCCUAUCAUUAUUGGAAAUAAAAGGUGCUUUUAUGGUGCUGGGUUUCAGUAGGAUCCCACUAACGGAGCAUGUCAAAUGAGUAAAUACAUUUAUAUUUCUUGUCUGUCACAUUUCUAUUCUAGCUAGCUACUUUCAUAUACCUCAACUGAAAAAAAAAAAAAAAAGGAGUGUGAUCUUAGAUUUCAAUAUUUCAGCAUAAAAGAUUACUUACAUGUUACUAAAUAUUUCAACCUAAUUCAUAUAUGGCUAAAGNNNGGUUUUUAUAUUUGAUUUUUGAGAAUGUGUGUUACCUCUUAAAAACUUACUAUCAUUAUGCUGAGAGUGGCCAACCUUCUAAGCCUAGGGUUUCUUAUUCUAUUUAUAGGGAAAGGUUUAAAGAAACUUUAAAAGCUUUUUUAUAUACGUUCGUAAUUUUCGAUAAAUAUCUCUAAUUUAAAAAAUUAAUUUUGAACUAAUUAGGAGUGUUUAUUAAUAAUAUUGAUAAACUAAAUAAAUCAUAGAAAAUUAUUAAAAUUUAAAUAUUUAAUAAAAUAUUUUAAAAGACAUUUUAUUAAUUUUAAUUUUUUAAAAUGAAAAUACACAAAAUAAUAUUGCAUUUCAAAUUUGGAGCCAAUCAGGAUCGGACCGUGUAAAAACAGUCAGACUCUGUUACAGCCGACGGGCUUAGAGUUGAAAAGUUUUGAGAAAUUUUACAUUUAAGUCCCUGAUCUUUUAAAAUUUUCAAUUUUACCCCUCAAACUUAAUUUGUUUCUAUCAAUUUAGUGCAAACUGAUUUCAAAAAUAAUUUUUGGUUCAAUUAUUCACAAUCCUAAUUGGAAUUUGACCAUCGUCAACCUCUCGAGACUCGAAAAAAGCAGUAACUUUUAUCAUCGAAUUUUUCAUAAUUCGCUCGAUAUCUAAAUUUGGAAAACAGGUGCUGACAGAGUCAUUUGAUUUAUACCAAAUAAGAAAAUAUGGCCUACUCCAAUUAUUCUCCUAAACAAAUCCCAGAUUUCAUUAAAUAAACCCUAUAUUGACACUAUUAUAACUUUCUUCAUUUUUAAUAUUGCAGAGACAUAACAUCACUUCGCAGAAAAUUCUCUUUAAGGAAAAAGGAAAAGAAGAGAAAAACUUGAAUAAAAGCAUACACAUAUACAUUUAUGUGCAUUAUGCCUUCAUAACUCAAGAAAAUAUGUUAGCAUCAAAAAAUGCCAAGAAAAGAAUGAAACCUUUAAAAGCAGAGAGAAUUAGAAAUAAAUAUUUUGCUUCCCUUCAUUUUCUUUGGAGAAUUCUCAAGAAAUUGUAAAAGGGGGGAAAAGAAUUGAUUGAUGAUCAUCAAGGUGAUGAAGAAAUCAAGGGAGAAGAUGGUGGAAUAACGCGUCUGCUUCUGCUUCUGUUUCUACUUCUACCACGGGUUUGAUUUCCAGAAGGAGAUGAUGAAGAAGAAGAUGAUGAGUUAGAAGAAGAUGUGAAUCUGUUGGAUACACUUGUUAGUUUUUUAACUAAGUUUGUACAAUUGACCAUCUUAGCCUUCACUUCGUCAAGAGCCAUUCAUUCCAUCUUCUUUAACCUAUCAACACAAGUCUGUUGAUCAAUCAUAGUAGCACUAAUCCAAGUCAAAGCUUUCUCUCUAGGACCGACUUUCAUCGCUAAUAAAGAAUCUCUGAGUCUGCUGAAUGCAUCAUCAAAUUGACUCAAACAGUCAUGAAUAGCAGUUUAAGAGUUAACAUUAUUCAAAAUUUUGAAAAAGUAAAGGCGUUUUUGAGUUCUUGAAUGGAGACUUAAAGAGAAAGCUUGAAAAUGGCUUCUUGGUCAGGUUUGUUGAGAAGUUAAGAGAGGAUAUGCUGGUGAAGCAAGACGUUGGAUAUUAAGUUAUAUUGCAGAUAGUUUUAAUUGACUUCGCCAAGUUGGAUAACAAGAUAGAUUCAGGAGGUUCAGUGUUGGAUUCUUGGAUCAGAGCAGUAAAC
rnacentral:lncRNA from 1 species